AUGCUUGAUUUGGCAGCACAUAUACUAAAAUUGUACCGAUACGGAGAUUAGCUUGGCCCCUGUACAAGGAUGACAAGCAAAUUUGUGAAGUGUUCCAUGUGUUA